AAAAAAUUCACUGCAACCUGAUUCAAUGUCAUGUGCCAAUUCUGUCAGAGAAUACCAAAAAUUAUCUAAAACUUGGUUAGAAUGUGGUUAGAUCAUGUUUUAAAAUUUAUUCUGAGGUGCUUUCUGAUUGAUUUUAUAUAAUGAAAGUCUUCAUUGCAAGAUACCUCACAAUUAUAUCUUCCUCUCAUUUCCUUGUUCAUUUCAUACAGAGUAUGGAAUCAAUGUAAGUAUUAAGUCAUUCUUCUCACUCUUCACUGCUGUCAGAAUCAAAACUAAGGUCUUCCACCUCAACUAAGCCCUUAUUAAGUGCUUACCAAAAUCCUAUAAGUGAUGUAAUCAAGACAGUUAUUCUGCAAUCUGAACAGAGAGGUUAAACAAAACAAAAAAUGACCUUUUCUCUUGGAUCUACUUUAUCUGGAAUACACCUGCUACUCUAGACUCUUACCCUAUCUUGUUCAGUUGCCUUUGCAAGUUCUUACCAGAUUUCAUCCUAAUUAUUCAAUGCUAAGUGUUCCAAGUCACUGACUGGGAAAGUUGAUGGUUUCCUUUUCUUAAUCAGUCCUUGCCUUUUUUCCCACAUUUACCUAAGAUUGCCCCUGCCAAUUAUUAUGUAGCUUUAUUUUUAACUUAAGAAGUGCUAUAGCAACAAUUGACAUUUGCUUAGCUAAAAAAUUUACUAUGUCUGCCAACAGCAGAACAUUAGCAAAUGGAAACUUUAUGUACCAUUUCAGCAUGGAUUGCCAAUAAAAUGGUAAGACUUUAGAAAUUUUAAGUAAAUGAUUCUAAUAUUUAAACUAAUUUUUAAACAACAGAAAAAUUUUUUAAAUAAAAGGGAAAAAAUC
rnacentral:lncRNA from 1 species